UGCAGCGAYGCCGCGUGCGGGAUGAAGGCCUUCGGGUUGUAAACCGCUUUCAGGAGGGACGAAAAUGACGGUACCUCCAGAAGAAGCCCCGGCCAACUACGUGCCAGCAGCCGCGGUAACACKUAGGGGGCGAGCGUUGUCCGGAUUUAUUGGGSGUAAAGGGCUCGUARGCGGCUUGGAAAGUCGGUCGUGAAAACCCGGGGCUCAACCCCGGGACGCCGGUCGAAACUUCCAUGGSUAGUGUCCGGUARAGGUGAGUGGAAUUCUCGGUGUAGCGGKGAAAUGCGCWKAUAUCGAGAGGAACACCAGUAGCGAAGGCGGCUCACUGGGCCGGUACARACGCUGAGGAGCGAAAGCGUGGGGAGCAAACAGGAUUARAUACCCUGGUAGUCCACGCCGUAAACGUUGAAUACUAGGUGUGGCGGAUGUAUCCACGUCUGCCGUGCCGAAGCUAACGCAUUAAGUAUUCCGCCUGGGGAGUACGGCCGCAAGGCUAAAACUCAAAGGAAUUGACGGGGCCCCGCACAAGCGGCGGAGCAUGCGGCUUAAUUCGAUGCAACCCGAAGAACCUUACCUGGACUUGACAUCAUGGGUCUACCUGUGGAAACACAGGGUGCUUUGCGCCCAUGACAGGUGGUGCAUGGCUGUCGUCAGCUCGUGUCGUGAGAUGUUGGGUUAAGUCCCGCARCGAGCGCAACCCCUGUCCUAUGUUGCCAGCGG
rnacentral:rRNA from 1 species